rnacentral:tRNA from 1 species
GGCCGCGUGGCCCAAUGGCAAGGCGUCUGACUACGAAUCAGGAGAUUCUGGGUUCGAGCCCCAGCGUGGUCA